CUAAAGGAGUUUUUAAACUCCAACAACUAAAGCAAAAAAUAAAGG
rfam:Equus caballus chromosome 15, whole genome shotgun sequence.